rnacentral:lncRNA from 1 species
CGAGCAGGUGGCUUCAAUUGUGGAGAGGGAGAGUGAGGAAGCUAGCACCGGAUCGGCUUACUUACUAUGUCGUCUAAGUAUCUUGCCCAGAAGCGCGCCUUGGCUCUCUCGUAGGGGUCUGCGGGCAAGAUCGGACUCUGCUUCCAGGUCUCGUCGAUGUACUCGAGGAUGAUUAGGGAUUCCGCGAUGGGCUUGCCGGCGUGCAGGAGGACGGGGAUCUUCUUGUGGACGGGAUUGUACAAGAGGAGUUCUGAGCUCUUGUUCUUGAGGUCUUCUUCCACGCGACGGAAAUUGACCCCCUUCAGGGCCAGCGCGAGCUCCACCCUGAAACUGAACGAGCUGUUCCACACCCGGAACACCACCACCUCGUCGGCCAUCGUGCCGUCGCCACCGCCGCCGACUCCUGCGAGGUCGAGCCGCCGGGCAGCAGAAGAGGGGGCCAGCGGUGGGAGCGAGGUCGUUUCUUGCAGGGGUGCUAAGGCUCCUUCAAGUAGGGAUCAACGGUCACGACCGGUGACCAGUUGACAGGACCGGGGUGACCGGACCUUCGGUCCGGUCACGGUCUUCUCACCGGUCGUGACCGGAGUCUCUCUCCUCUCCCAAUCACGGGUCGUGACCGGGCCGGACCUUCACGUGGAGGCCCGACCCAUCACCGGCUCUCCUCUCCCAAUCUCCCUCUCCCCUCUCUCCCGAGUCCUGACUCCAGCUCUCCGCCUCACACUCAUUAGGGCUCGCAACCUCCCUCUCCCUCCUCUCCUCUCGCUCUCUCCUACGCAUUUCCUCCUUAGUUCUCACUCUCUUCUUGCCUCUGGCUCUUUACCUGACGCUCGUUAGGGUUCUCUAUCUUUGACAAGAUAAAAUGGCUCCUAUAGAUGAACCCGUUAUAUAGAUAGAGACCCAUAUAAGGCUAGAGAAGGGAAGCAGAUCUUUCAUCCAUCAUAUAGAAGAGGGUCAUAUAGUUUUUUUGGAUUGUGUCCUAUCACCGAGUAAUAACUCAUUGAAACUUUUGCCUUAACUCCUCACCCAUGUGGAGUUAGAACCUUGAGCAACUACAAGUAGUGGCUGCUCAAUGGUACUCGACCAACUAAGCUAAUUGAUGAGACAAAAGAUCUUGAACUGGCGACAGAGGAUUUGAGAACUACAAGUCACAAUAAUGAUAUGACUUAGAGAUCAAGGGUGACUACUAAUGGGAUAGAACUUGACCACCAAUAUGGUGGCUAAGGAUAGUAAUGGUUAGAUAAAACUACCUAUAAGACAACGAGCACCAACAAUGAGGAGGGGAGAGGAAGAUGAAGAGUAUGAGAAGAGUAGAGACUUGCUUUCUUAGAUUGUUUCUCAAAGAAACUUGCUCUAAGUUCUUUGAACUAUCUCCUCUUGUGUUUCCCUCCCCUUUUUGUAUGACUAAUAUUUGUUUUCUUUCAACCACUAGUGUAGCACAGAUGCCUUUUGUCUUAAAAGUUUUGUCAGAUCAAAAUACAUUUCCAUCCAUCUUGGUGCCUCAACCUUCUCUAUAUCUUGGCACCUAUCAUAUUUGGUGUUAGAUCAAGUGACAUCAAUGGGCCCAAAACCUGUAGAUUCAAAAGUGAAAGUUAUAGGAAAAAAGAAAUGACUAAAAAAUCAAAAAACUUGGUCGAACUAAUAGGCAACUAGGUGGAACUACAAAUGAGACAAGAUGCUACCAAAAAUGUUUUGGAAGACUAUGAUGAUAAAUAACCUUGUUGGUGGAGUAUAUGGGGAAGGAAAAGAUUGUCCACGAGCCAUCUAGGACCGGCCCACGAGAAUCAAGCCAUCAAUGAUUGUUUCAUAAGAUGCAUGGAGGUUGUGAAGUGGAGGGUUGGGCACAAAACCCACUUGACUUACCUCAUUAAACUAAUCAGCUAGGCUUCCAUCCUAUUAGACAUGUUCUAAAAACUUAGCUGAGAGGAUGAUUGUAGUUGUGACUCUUCAAAGGAUACAAUCCAAAAUGCUAGGUGCUUAAAGUUGAGAUGUACUUCUCAACAUAUUGACUUUUAGCUGUAGAAUGACUUGCAUCAAUUAACCUCUAUUUAGAGGUGUGAAUGCUCCAUUGAUUUCAAUGGGCUGAUGAAUGAUGACCAUUUCGGAACUAAGAAAAGCCUCAGCAGCAGUUACUAAUGUGUUAUGAAAAGAAAAUAAUAAAUUUGUCUCGCCUCCAUUUCUUAGAGCUCAUGCAGACAAAGAUUAUAGAUGAAUACAAAGAAGACUUCAAACUCCUGUCAAGGGUGCUUUGUCACAUUUUAGAAGAGAUCUUGGAAGAGAUUUUUUGAAGGAACUACGAAAAGAUAUUUAGGCAAAAGUAUACACAUUAAACUCAAUUGACUUAGAGGAAAUGAUAACGAUUACAUAAUGAGUUGAAUUCAAAAUCAAGAUGUUAAUUGAUAUGACAUUCACGAGAUGAGUGUGAGUUAUGAAAGCCAUCACAAAUAUUAUUCAUUGGUUGUUUGAAUUUCAGGGAGCAGAAAUCAUUGAACCCAACUACUAUCGUCAAGAUAAUGACACUAGACCCCAAGUGGUCUCAGUCUACAACCUCCUAACUUAGUAAAUCAAUUAAUGAAAGAAGCUAAACACAACAACAUUUGAGAUUCAAGCUCAUACAGAAAAAAGGCUAUACUUUUGGUUCAAUAAUAAGCUUUCUCCAAGGCAUAAAUGUUGUAGAGAAAUCUAGAUACUAUUUAGACCAAUAUAAUUAAACUUCUUGACAAAAGAAGAAUAAGUUGAUGCAUGACAAGUCUCCUACAUCUCCAAAGAUGAAUUCUUCUAAAAUUUAGGGGGUCUCGGUCAACUUACUAUUUGACAAAGUCUUUAAGUGCAUGCUAAAAUUUUGAAAAAAUGAAUAGACAUGGGGUGUCAAUGUUGGUUGUCAUUAAAUGACACAUGACUUCAUUAGUACAUGGAUAAUUUAGGAAUUAUAAUUUACAAUAUGGUCGACCACCAACUUUAAGUUGUAAUGAGCAUGUGAAAAAAAGUCAUCAGUUUUAUCUUGUGCUAAUGACUAAUUAUUCAACUUUAUGUGUUAAUGAUCCACAAUGUGUUUCUUGUACAUCUAUUGAGAUCAAAUUGUAUCAUUAUUAGGUUUCAAUGGAUGAUAAGGUUAAAAAAUAUCAAAAUCAACUUUCAAAAGGUGACUCUAUUGUUUAAGAUGAGGACGAGAAAGAUACUUUUGUAAGUAGAAGCACCACAAUACCAAGAUGUGUUUAAUUUUCAUGAGUUUGAAGGGUAGCUCAAGAAGAAUGAACAUCUUAAAAUGUUACUAAAUUGAAAGAUCUUAUCAACAUACAUGACUGAUAUAUCAUACAUUGAACUAUCGAAUCAUAAAAAUUAGGUAUUCUUUGAAAAGUCUACCAAUAGUGGCACCUUUAGGAGAUUGAGCUAAUCCCAACCCCCCUUAGAUCGUAGAUACAUAUUUCUUUCUUAGAGGGUUUCUAUGAAGACUUCACACACUCCAAGUCACACAAUUCACUAUCGAAUUCCCCUAAAGCCACGUCUAGAGCCAAACAACACACAAUUACUUAAGUACCCUUACUUCCAUAAAAAUGAGUUAGAAAAAUCAAUAUGAGAGAUGUGAUCUACAAAGAUAAUCUAGCACUCCACUAAUUCACUUUUGAACUAUGUUCUCCUUAUUUAGAAAUACAACAACUUAUGAAGGUUUUGCAUGAAUAGGACCCUCAAUAGAAAAUCAAUAUCAGAUUAUUUUCUUAUCCUCAUGUUUGAAUAACUAUUAAAGGAGUUGAUGGAACACAUAUCUUCUCAAGAUUAGAUUUGUGGUUCAACUAUUAUCAUAUUAACAUUAAUACAUUCAACAUUUCGAAGAUAACCAUAUGCACUCAUGAGCGAUAUUAUGAAUUCUUAGUAAUAUCUUUAGGAUUAUCAAACACCCUUGAACCUUCUAAGGCCUCAUGAACCAAUGCUUUUGUCAAUAUCUUUGGAAAUUUAUUAUAAUCUUCAUCACAAAUUUUUUGUUUAUUAUAGGUCCCUCAAAGAACAUAGAGACUACCUCUCUAAAAUUUUUCAAUUCCUCUAGACAACAACUAUAGGUAAAUCUGAAGUAUUCAUUUGCUUAAGUACAAAUCACUUUUUUAGGUCAUCAAAUUUCUAGAGAAAUCAUUUCUAUCAACCCCAAGAAGAUUAAAUCUAUCAUGCAAUGGUCAUUCCCUUCAAAUCAACUCAAUGAAUUUAGUAGCCUUACUAGAUAUUACAAAUGAUUCAUUGUAGAAUAUAGAUCAAUCACAUAAGCCCUAACUAAUCAACUCAAGUAUUUCAUAUAACAACAUCAAAUCAUGACACAAUACUAAAAAUAGUUCAUCGAAAUAAUGGGUGUCAACUUUGAUAUCCGAUUUAUACUCAGGUCAUGGAACUUGACAACAUAUGCUCUCUCAUGAGUACUAGACCAAGUGUGGCUUCAUACCAUGAUAUUGUAUUAACUCACCUUAUUCGAUUUGUAGGUGAUCACUCAAGAGAUUCAAGUCAACCUUUGACUUUGAUGGAUCAAAGAAGAGGUAAUACAAAAUCCAAAAAAAUGACCUCAUUGUAAUGUGCAAUAAGAUAAAGUAUUAGUACUAAGGCAAGUUGGUUAUUUCUUCAUCUUUGAAACUUAUUCUAUCUCUCCUCUAAGAAUUUUAUGACUAGACCAUUAGUGGCCACUUGAGAUUCUUACGUACUUACGUGUUGCUCAGUCAAAAUGUUCAAUGGAUGGAGAUAAAAGAGUACAUGUGGUGAUUCAUAGUGAGCUGCGAAAUCUAGUAGAACAAUAUAAAUUCACUCACUCCUAAAAACUUAAUAUGCCCUCUUUCAAUUCCCAUGAAGGUUUAGACCAAUAUAACAAUGGACUUCAUCAAUGGUGUACCUCCAUCUGAUGGAUUCAACACUAUCCCAAUGGUCGUGGAUUGUUUUAGUAUUUAUGCUUCUAUCUACUUUGCCACUCAUUCAUCAUGAAAGAUGUUGCACAACUUUUCUUCUGAGAGGUGUUAUGUCUCUAUAUGAUUCAAUAAAUUUAUCCUCACAAAUUGCAACCAGAUAUUUAUGAGCUCCUUCUAAGAAACAUUAUGAUAAUUAUAGGGGUAUCCAUAUACAAUACAUCAGCUCAUACCACCCCUAAAUUGAUGGUCAAUCUAAAGUGGUUAACCGCAGACUUGAGACUUAUCUUUGUUGCUUCACUAGUGAACACCUAUGAUAGUGGAGCAAGUGGAUAUUGUGGUAGAGUGUUAGUUUAACAUCAACUUCAACAUCUCCACCAACUUCAACAUUUUUAACACCAACUUCAAGUAGUAUAUGCCCAUGAGCCACCAUUCAUUCCCCACCACCACAGCCCAUAUUUUGACUUUAGUGAACUUGAUGAACUCUUGCAAGAAUGAGAUAUCACCCUCACUCAACUUAAGUGACAUCUUGAGAGGGUCAAUGCAUGAAUGAAGCUUUGUAUAAAUUGCAAAUGUAGUAAUGUGGAAUAUUGUGAUGAAGAUAUUGUGUAUAUCCACCUUCAGCUCUAUUGUCAAAUGACUCUUGCUCAAUAACCACACGAGAAACUAUCCCCUUAGUUUCAUGGGCCAUAGUAGAUCCUACAACAUAUGAAUAAGGUGACAUAUCUAUUUGAACUCUCUAUAAGCUCGAGUGUCUACCCUAUCUUCUAAAUCUCCCAACUCAAAAAGGCCUUUGACAACAACCUCUCAUGUCCAUUUGGGUUGCUGAAGAUAAACACAAAUCAUUUCUUGACUAUAGAGCCUUUUCAGUUCCUUAUUAUAUGUUAUGCCUCUAAUGGGCCACAAGUUCUCAUUCAAUUAGCUGACACAUCACUGACUGAGGCCAUGUAGGAGUCCAUGACUUCUAAUUGCAAGCAAUAUCCUAAUUUUUGCCUUGAGAUAAGGUGAAACUUACAUGAGAGAGUAUUGUUGAGGCUCUUGUCGCAACUAUCCACUCAUAUGGAAUUAGAACCUCAAGCACCUACGAGUAGCAGGCGCCUAAUGGUACUUGACCAGCUUAAUUGAUUAACAAGUGAAAAGAUCUUUUGAACUGAUAGUGGAGGAUUUGGGAACCACAUGCCAUGAGAAUGAUUUGACUUAGAAGAGAUUUGGUGAUUAUUUGUGGGAUAGAACCUAAUUAGCCAAAUGAUAGAGAAAGGUAGUAAUGGUCAGAUAGAAUCACCUAUAAAACAAUGGCCACCAACAGCGAGAAAGAAGGAGAGGAAGAAGAAGAGUGUGAGAAGAGUAGAGACUAGCCUCCUCAGUUUGGCUCUCAAAAAAACUCAUUGUAUCUCCUCCCAUGUUUUCUCCCCUUUUUGUAUUGUUACUAUUUAUUUCCUUUCCACCACUAGUGUACCGCAUACUAACGCACCUUUUGUUUUGAAAAUUUCAUCAAAUCAAGGUACAUCUCCAUCCAUGUUGGUGCCUCAUCCUUCUCCAUCUACCGACACCAAUGAGAACCAUAAUGUUUUCUAUUUUUAAAUGUGAAUUAUGCAGAGGAAACUUUUGGGCAAAGACGUCAAUCAAUUCCACGUGUUCAAGAUGAGGCUUGCAGUUGCAGCAAUAGGUUACGAAUGUUGGAGACGAUGAGUUGCUGCGAAAAGUUUGAGUUCCGAUAAUUCAAUUAUGGAGUAAAUAUCUUAUGAGAAAAGGGAAUGCAAGCUUUUUGGAGAACCGGCGGAGGGGUGGAUUCUGCUGUUUGAUGUAAGAGUUUGUUUAUUCAUAAUGGCUCGUUAUUGCUUCCUCGAUCAAAGUUUUUGUGGCGGAGUAUAAUAAUACACAGUAUCACCCAUAGAGAGGACAAUUCUCGGAGAAGCAUGCAGAGGGGCUCUCCUGCUGCAGGCUUUCCCCGUUUAUUCUCAGGACAUCUUGGAGCAGAAGCUGCGGAUGAUCGAGGAGAGGUGAACCCUAAUUAUGAGCCUUGAAGGUCGCAAAGUGGGCAACGAGUUUCUCUCUGGGAGGCCGAGUUUCCUUGACCACAUCGCAGCUCGAGAAAUCUCUGGCCCAUCUGCACAGUCCGGGAUGGUUCUCCUCUUCCAGCAAGCAUAUUCCGGCCAGCUCCUGCAGAACUUCCAGCCAGGGAGUGAUGACGGAGGCUACGAUGUCCACCAAGCCGAUGGUCUCACCUCCGAAGAACUUCUUCCCUUCCAGAGCAGUCUCCAGGGUCCUGAGACGUUCCCUCGUCUCCGAGAUGAGUUCCUGCUGCUCCUCUCCCCGGGUCCAGCAGGCCCUCCACAUAGUCUCCAUGCACUGUCGGCAACAGCGAGCAGGUGGCUUCAAUUGUGGAGAGGGAGAGCGAGGAAGCUAGCACCGGAUCGGCUUACUUACCAUGUCUUCUACGUAUCUUGACCAGAAGCGCGCCUUGGCUCUCUCGUAGGGGUCUGCGGGCAAGAUCGGACUCUGCUUCCAGGUCUCGUCGAUGUACUCGAGGAUGAUUAGGGAUUCUGCAAUGGGCUUGCCGGCGUGCAGGAGGACGGGGAUCUUCUUGUGGACGGGAUUGUACAAGAGGAGCUCUGAGCUCUUGUUCUUGAGGUCUUCUUCCACGCGACGGAAAUUGACCCCCUUCAGGGCCAGCGCGAGCUCCACCCUGAAACUGAACGGGCUGUCCCACACCCGGAACACCACCACCUCGUCGGCCAUCGUGCCGCCGUCACCGCCGCCGACUCCUGCGAGGUCGAGCCGCCGGGCAGCAGAAGAGGGGGCCUGCGGUGGG